AACCCCUGGCAGUGGGCAGAGAGACACCUCGGCGGUGGUGAUGCUCUUGUAUCAGCCAGGGGCGAACCACACGGACAGUCCCGUGUUCAUCCCAGCUUGAUGCCUGGGUCGGUGGCCAGAGCUGUUUCAUGCGUGGGACAUAUAA
ensembl:snoRNA